GGUCUCAUAGUUGAAAUUUUACAACAUUAAACUGCAAAUUUAAAAGAGUAGCUAUAUUACUACUGAGGCUU
rnacentral:tRNA from 1 species